rnacentral:rRNA from 1 species
UACAGAGGUCCCAAGCGUUGUUCGGAUUCAUUGGGCGUAAAGGGUGCGUAGGCGGCGCGGUAAGUCGGGUGUGAAAUCUCGGAGCUUAACUCCGAAACUGCAUUCGAUACUGCCGUGCUGGAGGACUGGAGAGGAGACUGGAAUUUACGGUGUAGCGGUGAAAUGCGUAGAUAUCGUAAGGAAGACCAGUGGCGAAGGCGGGUCUCUGGACAGUUCCUGACGCUGAGGCACGAAGGCCAGGGGGAGCAAACGGGG